rnacentral:misc_RNA from 1 species
GAGUACCGGGUCUUCGGGCCCAUACUCCCACCCUUUGUGUACCUACCUGUUUUCGUUGCCUCGGCGGGGUCGAUCCCAAGGGCCUCACCGCCCGCGGGGGACCCGCCGGGGGGACACACCAAAACUCCUGUCAACAGUGACGUCUGAGCAAAAAACAAACUAGUUAAAACUUUCAACAACGGAUCUCUUGGUUCU